rnacentral:ncRNA from 13 species
AUUUAUAGUACUUAUAUUUGCAAGGUUAUACAUUGAAUAAACUACUCUGUUAGGGGAAUCGUGUGAAACUCACGAGCUGUCGCGCAACUGUAAGUAAUUAGAACUAAUUAUAAGUCAGAUCACCUACACAGUAGAAGUAUAAUAUU